rnacentral:rRNA from 1 species
GACGAACUGUUCUAACGUUAUUCGGAAUCACUGGGCGUAAAGCGCGCGUAGGCUGUUUUGUAAGUCAGAGGUGAAAUCCCACGGCUCACCCGUGGAACUGCCUUUGAUACUGCAUUACUUGAGUUUGUGAGAGGAUAGCGGAAUUCCAGGUGUAGGAGUGAAAUCCGUAGAGAUCUGGAGGAACAUCAGUGGCGAAGGCGGCUAUCUGGCACAAUACUGACGCUGAGGUGCGAAAGCGUGGGGAGCAAACAGGAUUA